AGCUGACUACUUCAAAGAGUAAAACUCAAGGUGGAAGCAACUUCUCACACUACAUUACACUGUGGUAACUGAGAUGGACCUCUGCUUUCCCUACUGCCGUGUGUCACUGUGCGAGUUGCUACAACUUACCUCAUAGCAAUUAACAGAAAUGAAAGAAACCUCUUGAAAAUGAAGGUUCUCAAGGCUGAAAAUAAACUAUUUCUUCAUAGGGUAUGCACUUAUAUAAACAAACUGCAUGAUAAGUAUGCUGGUGAGAAUGUCAGGAGGAACAGCAUCAGAAGCCUUAAUGAAGAAAGAAGGAAGGAAAAGAGAAUGCUAAUAACCAGAGAACAGUACAUGAUCUUGAUCAUAAAGACAGAAGCCAUCAAUUUCUGGAUAUUUGACAACACUAAACAGAACUUUUUUUUUUAAACUUGAAUCCAUCAACAGGCUUUGCCAGAAUAAGUCAAAUCCUAUCAGAAAUCACUUUGAGGGAAACUUCGACUCUCUUUGGAAAGCUUUAAGGACACCACUGUCAUGUGAAAGACGUACAAAAUAAGAGAUAAGCAAGAGAGCAGAAGAAAAUCCAUACUGAAAUGCAAAGGAGUUUAAUGGCAGUGUUUCAGAAUGAAGUUUCCAAAUGUCUAUUACACAUGAUAACUAAAAGUGCUGUGAAGCUUUGUUGUUGCAAGCACACAGCACCUCUUUUUUUUUUUUUGAAUGUGCUUGUAAUUGCUCGAGAAGUCUCAACUCUUACAAUAUUUCAGUGCAAAAUGUAUUUGAUAAGGAGAUUCUUGGAUUUUUAGUGACCAUUUAAAUAUCUUUUAUGACUUAGGGCACCGUAUUAGUUAUGAUAUCUCAAGACAGGUAAAACUGCCAUCUGUAAGGUAUAAAUGCUCCUUAAAUAGAUCUUUCUGAGGUAAUAGAUACGCACAGCAUCACACAGCCUUUGGGCUUCUUAUCUAUUCAUCUGGCAUCUAAGGUAAGAAAAGUACUAAAGAUUUAUGAACAAUAUCCAGUGUUUUCAAAAAGAAAGCAUAUCUGAAUAUAGAAAAAGGUAACUUCAGAUGUUGUUUAAAAACACACCAUAUUUGAAACAGUUUGGAAUAAUUUUUACUAGAGAUAAUUAAGAGCCCUUGAUGGAUAUUUUUAUUCAUCUUAUUACUGUGCCUCGUCUUUUUUCUUAUAGAAGUGUUAUACAGUUAAACUCUAGUGUCAA